CGCGUAGGCGGGGAGGUAAGUCGGGUGUGAAAUCCCUCGGCCCAACCGAGGAACUGCGCCCGAGACUGCUUCUCUUGAGUCCCGGAGAGGAAGGUGGAAUUCCCGGUGUAGCGGUGAAAUGUGUAGAGAUCGGGAGGAACACCGGUGGCGAAGGCGGCCUUCUGGACGGUGACUGACGCUGAGGCGCGAAAGCGUGGGGAGCAAACGG
rnacentral:rRNA from 1 species